rnacentral:rRNA from 1 species
AGUGAACGCUGGCGGUAGGCCUAACACAUGCAAGUCGAACGGCAGCACAGUAAGAGCUUGCCCUUACGGGUGGCGAGUGGCGGACGGGGGAGGAAUACACCGGAAUCUACUUUUUCGUGGGGGAAAACGUAGGGAAACUUACGCUAAUACCGCAUACGACCUACGGGUGAAAGCAGGGGAUCUUCGGACCUUGCGCGAUUGUAUGAGCCGAUGUCGGAUUCGCUGGUUGGCGGGGUAAAGGCCCACCAAGGCGGCGAUCCGUAGCUGGUCUGAGAGGACGGACCGCCUCCCUUGAACUGAGGACCGGUCCAGGCUCCCACGGGGAGCCGCCGUUGGGAAUAUUGGACAAUGGGCGCAAGCCUGAUCCAGCCAUACCGCGUGGGUGAAGAAGGCCUUCGGGUUGUAAAGCCCUUUUGUUGGGAAAGAAAAGCAGCAGGUUAAUACCCCGCUGUUCUGACGGUACCCAAAGAAUAAGCACCGGCUAACUUCGUG